rnacentral:rRNA from 1 species
AUUGAACGCUGGCGGCAUGCCUUACACAUGCAAGUCGAACGGUAACAGGUCUUCGGAUGCUGACGAGUGGCGAACGGGUGAGUAAUACAUCGGAACGUGCCUAGUAGUGGGGGAUAACUACUCGAAAGAGUGGCUAAUACCGCAUGAGAUCUACGGAUGAAAGCAGGGGAUCGCAAGACCUUGUGCUACUAGAGCGGCCGAUGGCAGAUAAGGUAGUUGGUGGGAUAAAAGCUUACCAAGCCGACGAUCUGUAGCUGGUCUGAGAGGACGAUCCGCCAACCUGGGACUGGAAAACGGCCCAUACUCCGACGUGAGGCAGCAGUCGGGAAUUUUGGACAAUGGGCGCAAGCCUGAUCCAACAAUGCCGCGUGCAGGAUGAAGGCCUUCGGGUUGUAAACUGCUUUUGUACGGAACGAAAAGCCCCGGGUUAAUACCCUGGGGUCAUGACGGUACCGUAAGAAUAAGCACCGGCUAACUACGUGCCAGCCGCCGCCGUAA